AUUCAGCGGCGGACGGGUGAGUAAUGCCUAGGAAUCUGCCUGGUAGUGGGGGACAACGUUUCGAAAGGAACGCUAAUACCGCAUACGUCCUACGGGAGAAAGCAGGGGACCUUCGGGCCUUGCGCUAUCAGAUGAGCCUAGGUCGGAUUAGCUAGUUGGUGAGGUAAUGGCUCACCAAGGCGACGAUCCGUAACUGGUCUGAGAGGAUGAUCAGUCACACUGGAACUGAGACACGGUCCAGACUCCUACGGGAGGCAGCAGUGGGGAAUAUUGGACAAUGGGCGAAAGCCUGAUCCAGCCAUGCCGCGUGUGUGAAGAAGGUCUUCGGAUUGUAAAGCACUUUAAGUUGGGAGGAAGGGCUGUAAAUUAAUACUUUGCUGUUUUGACGUUACCGACAGAAUAAGCACCGGCUAACUCUGUGCCAGCAGCCGCGGUAAUACAGAGGGUGCAAGCGUUAAUCGGAAUUACUGGGCGUAAAGCGCGCGUAGGUGGUUUGUUAAGUUGGAUGUGAAAUCCCCGGGCUCAACCUGGGAACUGCAUCCAAAACUGGCAAGCUAGAGUAUGGUAGAGGGUGGUGGAAUUUCCUGUGUAGCGGUGAAAUGCGUAGAUAUAGGAAGGAACACCAGUGGCGAAGGCGACCACCUGGACUGAUACUGACACUGAGGUGCG
rnacentral:rRNA from 1 species